rnacentral:rRNA from 1 species
GAUGAACGCUAGCUACAGGCUUAACACAUGCAAGUCGAGGGGCAGCAUGAAAGGAACUUCGGUUCUUUUUGAUGGCGACCGGCGCACGGGUGCGUAACGCGUAUCGAACCUGCCUCAUACUCGGGGAUAGCCUUGCGAAAGUAAGAUUAAUACCCGGCGGUCUCGGAUGGCCGCAUGACUAUCCGAGUGAAGAUUUAUCGGUAUGAGAUGGCGAUGCGUCCCAUUAGCUAGUUGGUGAGGUAACGGCUCACCAAGGCAUCGAUGGGUAGGGGUUCUGAGAGGAAGGUCCCCCACAUUGGAACUGAGACACGGUCCAAACUCCUACGGGAGGCAGCAGUGAGGAAUAUUGGUCAAUGGACGAAAGUCUGAACCAGCCAAGUAGCGUGCAGGACGACGGCCCUCUGGGUUGUAAACUGCUUUUAGUUGGGAAUAAAAAGAGGGACGUGUCCCUUAUUGUAUGUACCAUCAGAAAAAGGACCGGCUAAUUCCGUGCCAGCAGCCGCGGUAAUACGGAAGGUCCAGGCGUUAUCCGGAUUUAUUGGGUUUAAAGGGAGCGCAGGCGGCGGCGUAAGUCAGUUGUGAAAGUUUGCGGCUCAACCGUAAAAUUGCAGUUGAUACUGGAUAUCUUGAGUGCAGUUGAGGCAGGCGGAAUUCGUGGUGUAGCGGUGAAAUGCUUAGAUAUCACGAAGAACUCCGAUUGCGAAGGCAGCCUGCUAAGCUGCAACUGACAUUGAGGCUCGAAAGUGUGGGUAUCAAACCAGG